CACGUAGGGGCCAAGCGUUGUCCGGAUUUAUUGGGCGUAAAGAGCUCGUAGGCGGUUCGACAAGUCGGGUGUGAAAACUCCGGGCUCAACCCGGAGACGCCACCCGAUACUGUCGUGACUGGAGUCCGGUAGGGGAGUGGGGAAUUCCUGCUGUAGCGGUGAAAUGCGCAGAUAUCAGGAGGAACACCGGUGGCGAAGGCGCCACUCUGGGCCGGUACUGACGCUGAGGAGCGAAAGCGUGGGGAGCGAACAGG
rnacentral:rRNA from 1 species